UACAGAGGGUGCGAGCGUUAAUCGGAAUUACUGGGCGUAAAGCGUGCGUAGACGGUUAUUUAAGUCGGAUGUGAAAGCCCCGGGCUCAACCUGGGAACUGCAUUCGAGACUGCUUUGCUAGAGUAUGGGAGAGGGAAGUGGAAUUUCCGGUGUAGCGGUGAAAUGCGUAGAUAUCGGAAGGAACAUCAGUGGCGAAAGCGACUUCCUGGACCAAUACUGACGCUCAUGUGCGAAAGCGUGGGGAGCAAACAGG
rnacentral:rRNA from 1 species